rnacentral:rRNA from 1 species
ACGAACGCUGGCGGCGUGCUUAACACCUGCAAGUCGAACGGAAAGGCCCUGCUUUUGUGGGGUGCUCGAGUGGCGAACGGGUGAGUAACACGUGAGUAACCUGCCCUUGACUUUGGGAUAACUUCAGGAAACUGGGGCUAAUACCGGAUAGGAGCUCCUGCUGCAUGGUGGGGGUUGGAAAGUUUCGGCGGUUGGGGAUGGACUCGCGGCUUAUCAGCUUGUUGGUGGGGUAGUGGCUUACCAAGACUUUGACGGGUAGCCGGCCUGAGAGGGUGACCGGCCACAUUGGGACUGAGAUACGGCCCAGACUCCUACGGGAGGCAGCAGUGGGGAAUAUUGCACAAUGAGCGGAAGCCUGAUGCAGCAACGCCGCGUGCGGGAUGACGGCCUUCGGGUUGUAAACCGCUUUCGCCUGUGACGAAGCGUGAGUGACGGUAAUGGGUAAAGAAGCACCGGCUAACUACGUG